AUGUCCAGCGAAGAGGACAGCGGAAGCCCCGAGCGGGAAAUGUCAAGGGAGCAGGCGGAGCACGGGACCAUCCUGUUGCUCAACGCCUUCUCUGGUGAUGAAGCGUACCUGCUGAGGGCGCUGACACCGAAGGAGGUCUUCCAGCUCAUCCAGGGAUGUGCUGGUCAGAAGACGGAGAGGAAACUGGCUGAGCUGAAGGAAGAGCUCAGUCCAGAGGUCGUGGACGAGGUGCUGGAGGGGAUCCUCCAAGCACUCACCGGGGAGAGCGAGAGCAGCAGCAAGAGCUCUCCCUCCGCCGAGAAAACUAGAUCCGACAGGCGCGAGGUGUGGGAAAAGAUCAAAGAGCUUUACCGCAACCUCAAGCUGUUCAAGCCAUCGGAGGGCGGGGCUUCCGGCCUGAAGAUGCUGACUCCCAAACUGGGAGCGGAUAAACUCAAACGGGCGACCAAAAAAAUCAAAACAAAGCUGUCAUGUGUGAAAGGGGAAACGCAGGAGGAGGAAGAAACACCUGAACGAGCAGAGUCUCCAGAAACACAGCCAGAGCCUGCAGGGAUAGAUGCAGAGAAAGAAGCACAAGAUGUUGAAGAGGUUUCAGAAGAUGAAAGCUCAGCAACACAAAUGUGCUUUUCUGCACCUAGAAUUAAAGCUGCAGGUGUCAGAAUCAAAAGGAGAACUCGAGCAAGGCUCUCAGCGGUAAUGAAACCUGUGAGGGGACGUGUGAGUAAAAGAAUCCACUCAGGCGUCAAACUACGAACCUCAAACAGGAAGCUGCUGAGAGGACAGUUAGCUAAGCUGUCUUGCUCACGCUUCCCCAGCCUAGAGGCAGGAAAAAAAUCUGUCUCCAAAGUUAGAGCUUCUGGUUCCACCAUGCUGAGACAAAGUCUGGAAAAAAUCCAGGCUAUAGAUCUGACGUCCUGCCUUCCUGUGGAACCAGGAAAAAGGUGUGCUGAAAAAAUUAAAGCUGCCGGAGUCACCGUCCUGAUGAAAAGUCAGGAAAAGGUUCAAAACGCAACGUCCUGCUUUCCUGUGGAACCAGGAAAAAGGUGUGCUGAAAAAAUUAAAGCUGCCGGAGUCACCGUCCUGAUGAAAAGUCGGGAAACGGUUCAAAACGCAGAUCUGACGUCCUGCCUUCCUAUGGAAGCAGGAAGAAGGUCUCUUAAGAAAUUAAGAACAGCUGGUGGCAAGCUCCUGAGGAAAAGUGGUGAGGAAGUUCACAGUCCAGAAGAGGAUGUUGAAUCACAAGAGGAAACAGACUCUGAACUGGAAGAAGAUCAAACUGUGGAGCUAAAAUCACGCUUUGUAGAAUCAGGAAUGAGGAGGGCCGCAAAUAUUAAAGCUGCUGGUGCGAAAAUCCUGAGGAAGAGUCGUGAAAAAGUUCAAAAUGCUGAACUUAAGUCAUGCCUUCCCUGCGUGGAACCAGGAAAAAGAUAUGCGGCAAAGGUCAAAGCAGCUGGUGUCACUGUUCUACGGAAAAGUCGUGAAAAAGUUCACAAUGCUGAACUUAAGUCAUGCCUUCCCUGCGUGGAACCAGGAAAAAGAUAUGCGGCAAAGGUCAAAGCAGCUGGUGUCACUGUUCUACAGAAAAGUCGUGAAAAAGUUCACAAUGCUGAACUUGGAGCGUGCAUUCCCAUAGAAUCAGGAAAACGAUGCGCUGCCAAAGCAAAAGCCACUGGUGCCAAAAUACUUGGAAAACGUGGAAAAGUUCGACGUGCAGAUGAGGGUGUUGAGACACAAGAGAUCACACAGUCUCAACUGGAAGAAAAAGCACGGCUGGAUGAGGCUGAACUUCUGAAAGCAACGUUGAAAAAGUCACUUUUGAUGAUGAUUUCACACAUUGUUUCACAGUCAGGGUUUGAGCGUCAUUCUGAUAAAUUUACUUUCCCCGUAACACACCUCUUGGAAAGUAUUUGGAAUGAAGUUAAAGAUGAAAGCAUCCUGAUGGAUCAUUCCGACAUUGUGAGCAAGCUACACAAGCUUGUUUACAAGGAUCUGAUAAAGGAGUGGAAAAAUCCAGAAUUUCUGAUGAUUUUCAUCCUCUCCAAAUCGGUGAUGGUCGAUAAUUUAGUUGCUUCCAGCUUCAAAAAUCGGCUCACCAAGCCGAAGAAGCCCAGCCUUUUUAGAAGGUUCUUGAACUUUUUCCAUCGGUCUGACUAGUUGAGUCGGACUGUCUGGAAAAACUUCAGACUUAAAACACUAGUAGGAUUAGUUUAGAAGAUUAAAGUAGGAAAAAAGUUAGCUCAAAAACUGCUGUUAAAAAAACAGCAGUUAAAAAAAAAAAAUAGAAUUAUCUUAGAUUAAAGUAGGAAAAAAGUUAGCUCAAAAACUGCUGUUAAAAAAAACAGCAGUUAAAAAAAAAAAAUAGAAUUAUCUUAGAUUAAAGUAGGAAAAAAGUUAGCUCAAAAACUGCUGUUAAAAAAAACAGCAGUUAUAAAAAAAAAAAAUAGAAUUAUCUUAGAUUAAAGUAGGAAAAAAGUUAGCUCAAAAACUGCAGUUAAAAAAAAAAAAAAAAAAAAAAAAAAAAAAGAUUUUUAAUGCA
rnacentral:lncRNA from 1 species